UGUGGAGGGGGAUAACCCCGGAAAACUGGGGAUAAUACCCCAUAGGUUUAGGGUGGCUGGAAUGCCCCCUAGCUCAAAGGUCCGCCGCCCACAGGAUGGGUCUGCGGCCGAUUAGGUUGUUGUUGGGGUAACGGCCCAACAAGCCUUUGAUCGGUACGGGUUGUGGGAGCAAGAGCCCGGAGAUGGAUUCUGAGACACGAAUCCAGGCCCUACGGGGCGCAGCAGGCGCGAAAACUUUACAAUGCGAGAAAUCGUGAUAAGGGAACCCCGAGUGCCCGUAAAUUCGGGCUGUCCGCCAGUGCAAAAAACUGGUGAAGAAAGAGCCGGGCAAGACCGGUGCCAGCCGCCGCGGU
rnacentral:rRNA from 1 species